UGGGCUUUGGUGAACUGUCCUAAUGGCCCACGUGCUGCUCAAUCUUCGCGUGCAGAGUUGGAACGUCGAUCGAUCAUGGCGGUUCCUUUCUACUUUGUCUCUCACUCCAAGUUCAAGAGUGACAGUGGUCUUGCGGCCCGUAGUUUGAUGGUCUUUUUGGCGGGAAAGCGGGGGAGUGAAGUAAGUAUUACCCAGAGUACAGCAAAUAAAAGAGGGCAGAAUUGAGAGAGCUGCUAGAAAAGUUUCUGGAAUGGCGAACAAGCUGAUCAGUGAAAUGGGUCUCCCUAGAUCGAUGGCUAACGUUUUUAUUGCUCGAAAUAUCGUCACCGCCAAGGAUGCAUUAUCACUAAGUGAGUUUGAGUUGAUGGAGGUGUUGGAUGUUGGGUUGGAAGAAGUAACAAGGGCAGUGGCACACAUUAGUGAAAUUUCAUGCCCACCCUAUCAGACGGCUUUGUCGUUGCUGGAGCAACGAAACCAGAAUGAGUACCUGGCAGGCCAUCUCCCGACGCGCUUAAAAGGACUUGAUGCUGCCCUCUUUGGUGGAAUUCCAUUUGGUGUUGUGACAGAGUUGGUUGGUCCUGCUGGAAUUGGCAAAACACAGUUUUGCCUGAAGCUUGCUUUACUGGCAUCCUUGCCUACUUCUUAUGGAGGUUUAGGUGGCCGUGUAAUAUAUGUUGAUGUGGAAUCCAAAUUUAGUUCAAAAAGGAUGAUAGAAAUGGGCCUUAGUAGUUUCCCAGAAAUAUUUCACAUGGAAGGCUUGGCUCAAGAGAUGGCAGGAAGGAUUCUAGUUUUGCAGCCAGCCUCAUUGUCUGAGUUCACUGAGAGCUUGCAACAUAUAAAGGUUUCACUCCUCCAGCACAAUGUAAAGCUGCUUAUAAUUGACAGCAUGGCAGCCCUUGCUUCUGGAGAAUAUGGCCUGGCUCCUCCUAAACAUCACCCAUUAGGUUGGCAUAUCUCAUUUAUAAAAUCUCUAGCAGAAUGUUAUCGGAUUCCUGUAGUGGUGACUAAUCAAGUACGGUCUCAAAGUCGUGAUGAAGCUUCCCGAUAUUUAUUCCAAGUGCAGAGCAGAGCAGAGCUGAAACUAUAGAAGAUCCUCCAAAUUUUAAUUCUCAUCUUGUUGCCGCUCUGGGGAUUCACUGGGCUCAUGCUGUUACCAUUCGUCUUGUGCUAGAAUUUAGAUCAGAUAUGCUCCAAUGACUGCACGAACCAACCGAGGCUACUUAAUUACCAGCUCACUAAGCGAAUAUGUAAUAUCUUUAUUGUUAAAAUUUGCUAUCUAUUUCAGAAGUGAAGACAUGAAAAAAAUGAUUGUACUGGUUGAACUAAUUCUUUUCUGUUUUCUGUAAUUAGAUGGGAGUAAAAGUAUUCCUAUUCUAUAAGUAUGAUGAAUAUAUAAAUUUUUGAAUUCUGUUCCAAUUUCUUUCCAAUCACAAGUCUAAACAUGGUUUCGACAAUAGUGCGGUCAGCAAUACCCAUUUUCCCUGUGCUUCUUCAUCUAGAACAAAGGUUGAGGUAAGACAUGCCACUUCAUUUGAGCUACAAUGCUAGAGGUUAGACUAGAAGCAUAUAUUCCCCAAAAACUAGUGGACAUAAAUAUCCAAGUCACAUUUUGCUGUGAGCAGAUUGAAUGAAGUUUCAUACCAAUCCUCUUAAAGGGAAAUGUAUUAUCCAAGAAUGCUGUGGCUCAAACAAAAUAUCACUAAUUAAAAGAAAGAAAGAUGAGCAACGCUUUUCCCUCUUUCAUUGUUUAGCAUGCAUGGUCGAGCGCUAGGAACUUUUAAAGGGAAGGGUCUAAUAUCCCUGAACUUAGCCCCGAACUUUUGUUUAUGUCAAGUGCAAAUAUUGACUAUCUGGAUUAGCAAUGAUCCAAAUGAUUGAUG